rnacentral:tRNA from 1 species
GUCUUUCUAGUAUAAAAUAUAAAUGACUUCCAAUUAUUAGAUCUUAGCUGAGGAAAGACA